GAGGGCUGGAAUUCGAAAGCCCCAGUUCAGCUUCAUUUUCAAGUGGGUGUGAAAUUUCUGCCCUUGAAAUCCAAGGUGUGCGGGGAGCUUGGCAGGGCCCCAGGCAGCUGAGGUGGCUGUCAGCCCAGCUCUCGCCGGCCAGCCUCUGAGCAGCGCUGCUAUUUGUGCCUGUGACUUCAGCGCCGGGAAGUGCUGCCAGCGCCGAGACAACGGAGGGGUCAAAAUCUGUCCGUGCCCUGCGGGGCUGGAAGAGAGACGAGGGAACAUAGCGGGGACCUCAGCUCCUUGAGAUGUCUCAUUCAGCCCUGAUCUUCAAUAGCCCUUGCAGUGCUCUCCUGCAUCUUCUCCUUUCCCAGAGGUCCGAGGAAGUGCACCGUGAUGUUUAUGUCUAUCCCAACCACGCAGUUGUUCCCAUCGAAGAUAUCGACCCCAAGAUUUCUUGCCUUCUGCAGUGGAAGAGGCAGAUAAAGAACUAGCAUCCCAGCCUGCAAUGGCUGCAGAGACCCUGCCAUGCCGAGCGGCUUCUCUCCUUCCCUUGAUUUAAGGACUCCGCUGAUGGCGGAUCCACGGCUCCCCCCGGAAUCUGCUCCAUGGGUUAAUUACCCUCUCGGCUAAAAUCCUCUCAGGGCGAUGAAGCCUCGUGGGGAAGAUGGAUUCAGUGUUAAGUGAAAUAACCUGGAGGUUAUAACCCAGCUGCCAGCCGACAGAAAUUAAGGCCAUCUCUGGCGACGGUGGGAGCCAUUUGCCGGGGGAAUCUGAGCUGGCCUGUCCUUCCAGGCAGUUCUCCGUAUUUAUUUCCAGGUCUGUUGGCUUGAGAGGAGUCUGCUGUGAAAGUCUUUGCGGAGGGCUGGGAAACGGCUGGCUGUUGUGAACCCUAAAGCCCUUGGGCCUUAUGCUAAUAUAACAGACCCCGUUGGACCUGCUACAACAAGGAGCUGCAAUCUGGCCCUUGCUGGGGGGACUUUACAAUGUGCUUGCCUGCAGGAUUGUACCCCCAAAUCACUCCGUGCUGGAAGAUCCAUGGUGUCCUGAGCUGUCCAACACCAGCAGUGCAAAACAUAGCAGCCUGGGGGCAGCUCUAAGUGGGGUCAGGGGUGAGGAUCAUGGAGCAGCCCCUUCCCCUCUUCUCUUGUGCCUGGCUCGGGGGGGGGGACAGCAAUUCAGAGUCCCCCUGCUCCUGAUGCCUCAGGGUGGGGGGGUGGUGAUGCUGAUGAGCUCAGUCCAUGAGCCAUUUCUUGCCCCUAAGCACAGACAGUGGGAGGACAAGCAGGCAACCUCUUGCUGGCAUUUGGCAAGCUACCAGUGCCCUCUUGGCAUCACCGACUCACAGGGCCCCUGGCCCAGGGGUGAAAGGAAUGAGAACGGUGGGUUGGCCGGGAGAGGAGAGAGCUGGCCGGGGGUGAGGGAUGACCUGUAGCAUGGUACCUGACCUGAGAUCCGUUCUAGGUGCUGUGCAGGAGAUGGCCCUGGUCCCAGCACGGUCCCAAUCAAGCGCGGGCAAAAAGCCGAGCCAGAAAGGGGAUAACGAGCCAUGUCAGGAGGGUGGAGCAGGGCCUUUCUCAUCUCCUUUGUCCCCACUGCAGGCAUCUUCCUCUGUGGCCCCCUCUCCACAUCACACAGUCAGCACCCCUAAUGGGUUCAGCGACUCUUAAAGAGAUACCACCCUAUUUGUGGGCACUGCAGUAGGCAAGCCGGCUGUUCAAAGGGAGAGCAACUGCUGGCACACAGUCCCUUUAAGUGACAGGGUAAUGGGGCAUCAGGAUCGGGUCCCAUUUUUUGUGGGACCAUUUUACCACAGCAAAUCCUGUCCCUUCUUCCCCUUCAUCGCACACCGGGGCUGUUGCAGCAGCCUGACUUUCUCUCCUGGCAGAGAAGACCCAAAGGGUUCAACUCUUUGCUGGGCCAUUUUGAGUGUGAGGAACUUAUGGACGUAGAGGCAAGCCAGUGAAGUCGCGAAGUCUGGGGGAAUUUGCUAUAUCCCCUCCCGCCCCUUCUCUUUCCUUUCUCUGGGUGCAUCACGCCUCGUUUGGUAAUAAUGUAAUUAAAAAGACAAAGAGAAGGUCUCUCUCUCUCUUGCACUGACUUCAUCAUUGCAGACGAGAUUCUUGGACUCCGUUCAAGGUAUAUAUCAUUGGCCUAAAUACUGCACGGCCUCCAAGAGUUCUCACACACCCGCUGCUUCGCAAGGACAUCAUUUAAAAGCCUUGCUGGCUUCCAAGAUGCUCUCAACAGCCUUUGGGAAGGGGAGAAAUAAAUAAAUAAAUGCUUCCCAUCUUGUAGUCUAGGUCACCGGCCAAGAUCUGUUUGGGUAGAAACAGCAGGCGCUUGUACCGCACACCGUAUUGCCUCAUGUACAACGGGUAUCUAUUCCCCCACCCCCAUGGGGCAUAGGUCUUAAAUACAGAAAUGUAGGGAGAAGAGGGCCUGAUGCUAGGAUGUCUGGCCUGUAUUCAAUCAGGACUCAGCCCAAACCCCCGCCCUAUAGGCUUAUCACAAGCUUGACCGUCCACCAGGAUGUAGCUUGAUCUUUGUGGAGUGGCAGGGAAGGCCUCCGACUGCUGGCCCCUGAUUAGUCAGGGCUUCUGGCUAUGGAUUGUUCCCUUUGGUCCCUAUAAAGCCUGGGCAGGGAGCAGGAAGCUGUCUGAACAACAAGGCUUUUGCUGACCCUGGAUCACCUGCUGCCUCUGGAUCCCAGACCCGCUGUCCCGUUGCCCGGACCCUCACCACCACUGUGGCUUCAUGAUGCAGGUCCAUUGGGAACUCUGAUCUCCAAGCACCUGAUGUGGCUUGUCCCUGAAUCCUCUCUGCUUAUUGAUUUAGGCCUGCCUGAGGCUCAGACCCCCUGGUUUUGAUCCAGCUACUGUUGCACAUGUUGUAUUUUCUAAGAAAGCUUUUUCUUUUGCCUUCGUUCAGUCUUCUGAAGACAAGCGGUGUGCCUUCUUUGGAGGUGUAUGGUAUACUAGAAAGUAUGGCAUAGAUUCAUAGAUUCAUAGAUGUUAGGGUUGGAAGGGACCUCAAUAGA